ensembl:snoRNA U3 Small nucleolar RNA U3
AAGACUAUGUUUUCAGGGAUCAUUUCUAUAGUUCUUUGCUUGGAAAUGUAUUUCGAAAGUGUUUGUCUCCCAACCCAUGACGAUGAGCUAUGAUACUCCAUUCUGAGAGUGAAUUGAGGACGGAACUCUGGCUUUGUUCUACAAGCUCUGUGCGUUGAUGAGCGUUCAUAUUGUUUUUGGCAAUGUUGAAGAAAGGAGUAUGAUCUGAGUGGU